GAUGAACGCUAGCUGCAGGCUUAAUACAUGCAAGUCGAGGGGUAGCAAGAUUGUAGCAAUACAAUUGUUGACGACCGGCAAACGGGUGCGGAACACGUACACAACCUUCCUACAAGUGGGGAAUAGCCCAGAGAAAUUUGGAUUAAUACCCCGUAACAUAGCGAUGUGGCAUCACAUUGCUAUUAUAGCUUCGGCGCUUGUUGAUGGGUGUGCGGCUGAUUAGAUAGUUGGCGGGGUAACGGCCCACCAAGUCUACGAUCAGUAGCUGAUGUGCGAGCAUGAUCAGCCACACGGGCACGGAGACACGGGCCCGACUCCUACGGGAGGCAGCAGUAAGGAAUAUUGGACAAUGGACGCAAGUCUGAUCCAGCCAUGCCGCGUGAAGGAUUAAGGUCCUCUGGAUUGUAAACUUCUUUUAUAAGGGACGAAAAAAGGUCUUUCUAGAUCGUCUGACGGUACCUUAUGAAUAAGCACCGGCUAACUCCGUGCCAGCCGCCGCCGUAACAC
rnacentral:rRNA from 1 species